rnacentral:rRNA from 1 species
UACGGGGGGGGCAAGCGUUGUUCGGAAUUACUGGGCGUAAAGGGCUCGUAGGCGGCCAACUAAGUCAGACGUGAAAUCCCUCGGCUUAACCGGGGAACUGCGUCUGAUACUGGAUGGCUUGAGUUUGGGAGAGGGAUGCGGAAUUCCAGGUGUAGCGGUGAAAUGCGUAGAUAUCUGGAGGAACACCGGAGGCGAAGGCGGCAUCCUGGACCAACACUGACGCUGAUGAGCGAAAGCCAGGGGAGCAAACGGG